rnacentral:rRNA from 1 species
UACGUAGGGGGCUAGCGUUGUCCGGAAUCAUUGGGCGUAAGAGCGUGUAGGCGGCCCGGUAAGUCCGCUGUGAAAGUCGGGGGCUCAACCCUCGAAUGCCGGUGGAUACUGGUCGGGCUAGAGUGCGGAAGAGGCGAGUGGAAUUCCUGGGUGUAGCGGUGAAAUGCGCAGAUAUCAGGAGGAACACCUAUUGCGAAGGCAGCUCGCUGGGACGUUACUGACGCUGAGACGCGAAAGCGUGGGGAGCAAACAGG